GUUAACCAGCUCUAUCUCUGCCUCUCGCUGUAGGCCAGCCCUUUGACCAGGAACAGCGAUCAUGGUUCGUCUGCAGCAGGGAUCAAGCCUCCUGAACCACGGAUCACGACUUGGUUAGCAUCAUCUGAGGUCCUCUGAGGGUCAGCAUCAUCUCUUCUCAGGUGUUCUGGAUCCAGACUGGAGCUUGUGUAAAUCCUAGUUACUCGUGGCAAAACAUAGAAACAAAUUGAGACAUCAUUGGCAUAGCUGCUGAUCCAACAAAGAAAAAUGUAUUAGUUUAAACCAAGCUAAAGAAUAAGAAUGCACAUUUGAUCAGAUGCAACUACAAUCACAAUUCAAGAGAUUCAUUUUCUGAAUGCUUGGCGAAAGAGAUGUGUGUUUAAUCUAGAUUUAAACAGAGAGAGUGUGUCUGAACAUUAUCAGGAAGGCUAUUCCAGAGUUUGGGAGCCAAAUGUGAAAAGCUCUACCUCCUUUAGUGGACUUUGCUAUCCUAGGAACGACCAAAAGUCCAGCGUUUUGUGACCUUAGGGAGCGUGAUGGGUUGUAACGUGGUAGAAGGCUAGUUAGAUACGCAGGAGCUAAACCAUUUAGGGUCUUAUAGGUAAGUAAUGAUAAUUUGUAACUGAUACGGAACUUAAUAGGUAGCCAGUGCAGAGACUGUAAAAUUGGGGUAAUAUGAUCAUAUUUUCUUGACCUUGUAAGGACUCCAGCUUCUGCAUUUUGGACUACCUGAAGCUUGUUUAUUGACGAAGCAGGACAACCACCUAGAAGUGCAUUACAAUAGUCCAGUCUAGAGGUCACGAAUGCAUGAACUAGCUUUUCUGCAUCAGAAACAGUUAACAUGUUUCGUAGCUUGGCAAUGUUUCUAAGAUGGAAGAAUGCAGUUUUUGUAACAUUGGAAAUAUGAUUUUCAAAAGACAGCUGCUGUCUAAUAUAACACCCAGAUUUCUGACUGUAGAGGAAGUAACAGCACAUCCGUCUAGUUGCAAACUGUAAUCUAUGAGAUUCUGUGUACUGUUUUUUGGUCAAAUAAGUAAUAACUCUGUCUUAUCCGAAUUUAAUAGGAGAAAAUUAUUGGUCUUACAAUAUUUUACAUUUUUUAACACACUCUGUUAGAUCAGAUCAUUUAGAAGUUUCAUCUGGUCUCAUUGAGAUAUAUAGCUGAGUAUCAACAGCAUAACAGUGGAAACUAAUCCCGUAUUUUCUAAUAAUAUUACCAAGGGGUAACAUGUAUAUUGAAAAUAGCAGAGGACCUAGGACAUAUCUGCUCUCCUUAGAGUUACAAAUGAUCUGCUCUUAUCAUCUGAUCGUGGGUGUAUCUCUCUAUUAGUUUUAUUGGAUCUUAGUGCUGCGUUUGACACAAUUGACCACAACAUUCUUUUGCAUAGACUUGAACACUUUGUUGGCAUCAGUGGAAGUGCAUUAGCAUGGUUUAAAUCGUACUUAUAUGACCGCCAUCAGUUCGUAGCAGUGAAUGAAGAUGUAUCAUAUCGAUCACAAGUGCAGUAUGGAGUACCUCAAGGCUCAGUUCUAGGGCCGCUACUCUUCACGCUUUAUAUGUUACCCUUGGGAGAUAUCAUCAGGAAACAUGGUGUUAGCUUUCACUGUUAUGCUGAUGAUACGCAGCUCUAUAUUUCCUCGCAGCCCGGUGAAACACACCAAUUUGAAAAACGAAUGGAAUGCAUAGUCGAUAUAAAAAAUUGGAUGACGAGUAAUUUCUUACUGCUAAAUUCAGAAAAAACAGAGGUGUUAAUCAUAGGGCCUAAAAACUCUACUUGUAAUAACCUAGAACACUGUCUAAGACUUGAUGGUUGCUCUGUCAAUUCUUCUACAUCAGUUAGGAACCUAGGUGUGCUACUUGAUCGCAAUCUUUCCUUAGAAAGCCACGUUUCUAGCAUUUGUAAAACUGCAUUUUUCCAUCUCAAAAAUAUAUCUAAAUUACGGCCUAUGCUCUCAAUGUCAAAUGCAGAAAUGUUAAUCCAUGCAUUUAUGACUUCAAGGUUAGACUAUUGUAAUGCUUUAUUGGGUGGUUGUUCUGCACGCUUGGUAAACAAACUACAGCUAGUCCAAAAUGCAGCAGUAAGAGUUCUUACUAGAACCAGGAAGUAUGACCAUAUUAGCCCGGUCCUGUCCAUACUGCACUGGCUCCCUAUCAAACAUCGUAUAGAUUUUAAAAUAUUGCUUAUUACUUAUAAAGCCCUGAAUGGUUUAGCACCUCAGUAUUUGAAUGAGCUCCUUUUACAUUAUACUCCUCUACGUCCGCUACGUUCUCAAAACUCAGGCAAUUUGAUAAUACCUAGAAUAUCAAAAUCAACUGCGGGCGGCAGAUCCUUUUCCUAUUUGGCGCCAAAACUCUGGAAUAACCUACCUAACAUUGUUCGGGAGGCAGACACACUCUUGCAGUUUAAAUCUAGAUUAAAGACCCAUCUCUUUAACCUGGCAUACACAUAACAUACUAAUAUGCUUUUAAUAUCCAAAUCCGUUAAAGGAUUUUUAGGCUGCAUUAAUUAGGUAAACUGGAACCGGAACACUUCACAUAACACCGUACUUUCUACAUCAUUAGAAGAAUGGCAUCUACGCUAAUAUUUGUCUGUUUCUCUCUUGUUCCGAGGUCACCGUGGCCACCAGAUCCAGUCUGUGUCCAGAUCAGAGGGUCACUGCAGUCACCCGGAUCCAGUACGUAUCCAGACCAGAUGGUGGAUCAGCACCUAGAAAGGACCUCUACUGCCCUGAAAGACAGCGGAGACCAGGACAACUAGAGUCCCAGAUACAGAUCCCCUGUAAAGACCUUGUCUCAGGGGAGCACCAGGACAAGACCACAGGAAACAGAUGAUUCUUCUGCACAAUCUGACUUUGCUGCAGCCUGGAAUUGAACUACUGGUUUCGUCUGGUCAGAGGAGAACUGACCCCCAACUGAGCCUGGUUUCUCCCAAGGUUUUUUUCUCCAUUCUGUCACCGAUGGAGUUUCGGUUCCUUGCCGCUGUCGCCUCUGGCUUGCUUAGUUGGGGUCACUUCAUCUACAGCGAUAUCAUUGACUUGAUUGCAAAUUAAAACAGACACUAUUUCAACUGAACAGAGAUGACAUAACUAAAUUCAAUGAUGAACUGCCUUUAACUAUCAUUUUGCAUUAUUGACACACUGUUUUCCAAAUGAAUGUUGUUCAGUGCUUUGGUGCAAUGUAUUUUGUUUAAAGCACUAUAUAAAUAAAGGUGAUUGAUUGAUUGA